rnacentral:lncRNA from 1 species
AUACACUUCUUUUUUUUUAAUGCAAUUGCAACUUCUUCAACUUGUGAUGCUACUGGUGUUUGUUCUGGCACUUCUUCAGGUGCAGGACUUUCAGGAGUGGGAACUUGAUCGUUUUCUUCUGUUACAUCUGUCAAUAGAGGAUUCAAGGUUAAAUGAAACUCCCUUCAUAACAAAAAGAAAAAAAAUCCUCCAUCUCCAUAUAGGAAAAAAAAAAUCCUCUAUCCGUUAUGUGUAAUAAGCUAAAUAAGCUAGCUAUUAUGUGUAAUAUCAGUCAAGUGGAAUAUUGCUACAGCGAGUGGAAUAUGAACAAAUUGCUAUUGCUCAGAAUUACGAUAGUUAGUGCAAAAUGUUGUGAAAUAGCAUCUAUAGUGGUGCUAUAAAACUAUUGUGUAGCGGUAAGAAAUUGUUACUUUCGGCGAU